AGAGGUGGUGCAAGAAACAAGAUA
rnacentral:siRNA from 1 species